UACGAAGGGGGGCUAGCGUUGUUCGGAAUUACUGGGCGUAAAGGGCGCGUAGGCGGCCCUCUAAGUCGAACGUGAAAUCCCCGGGCUCAACCCGGGAACUGCGUCCGAUACUGGAGGGCUCGAAUCCGGGAGAGGGAUGUGGAAUUCCAGGUGUAGCGGUGAAAUGCGUAGAUAUCUGGAGGAACACCGGUGGCGAAGGCGGCAUCCUGGACCGGUAUUGACGCUGAGGCGCGAAAGCCAGGGGAGCAAACGGG
rnacentral:rRNA from 1 species